AUACCUUUCUCGGCCUUUUGGCUAAGAUCAAGUGUAGUAUCUGUUCUUAUCAGUUUAAUAUCUGAUAUGUGAGGCACCGCCUCACAAUGAUAUUAAAUUUAUUUUUUGUGGGGGAGUAUUCACUAUAGUGGCUUGCCACUAGAAUCCUCAUGUGUCGCCUAGGUGUUGCACUAUAACCUAGGUUGGGCGCACCCCAA
rnacentral:snRNA from 2 species